rnacentral:rRNA from 1 species
UACGUAGGGUGCGAGCGUUAAUCGGAAUUACUGGGCGUAAAGCGUGCGCAGGCGGUUUUGUAAGCCAGAUGUGAAAUCCCCGGGCUUAACCUGGGAAUGGCAUUUGGGACUGCAAGGCUUGAGUGCGGCAGAGGAGACUGGAAUUCCUGGUGUAGCAGUGAAAUGCGUAGAUAUCAGGAGGAAUACCAAUGGCGAAGGCAGGUCUCUGGGCUGACACUGACGCUCAUGCACGAAAGCGUGGGGAGCAAACAGG